GACGAACGCUGGCGGCGUGCCUAAUACAUGCAAGUCGAACGCUGAAGGAGGAGCUUGCUUCUCUGGAUGAGUUGCGAACGGGUGAGUAACGCGUAGGUAACCUGCCUGGUAGCGGGGGAUAACUAUUGGAAACGAUAGCUAAUACCGCAUAAGAGUAGAUGUUGCAUGACAUUUGCUUAAAAGGUGCAAUUGCAUCACUACCAGAUGGACCCGCGUUGUAUUAGCUAGUUGGUGGGGUAACGGCUCACCAAGGCGACGAUACAUAGCCGACCUGAGAGGGUGAUCGGCCACACUGGGACUGAGACACGGCCCAGACUCCUACGGGAGGCAGCAGUAGGGAAUCUGCGGCAAUGGACGGAAGUCUGACCGAGCAACGCCGCGUGAGUGAAGAAGGUUUUCGGAUCGUAAAGCUCUGUUGUAAGAGAAGAACGAGUGUGAGAGUGGAAAGUUCACACUGUGACGGUAUCUUACCAGAAAGGGACGGCUAACUACGUG
rnacentral:rRNA from 1 species